rnacentral:tRNA from 1 species
UAAAACCUGUAAGACUCUACUCACAUCACCUGAAUGCAACUCA